UUUCACUGCUGCACACUUCUUCUGCUCUUUUCUUUUCUCCUCCUCCUCUUCUUCUUCUCCUCUCAUCUCCUCUCUUAUUCUCUGUUCAUACAUUCUCUUUCUUCUUCUAGCUAUGAUUUUCGUCAUCUUAGAUACCUAAGAUUUUCAUUUCUAUUCCUCCAUACCUCAAAUUUUGGUUCAUGCAUGUGUUGAUCUAAACAGAGUUGCAGAUCUGGAAGUUUCAGUUUACAGAUCCAUGCCAUGUUGGGGAGAGGGCUAAGAGAAUCAGGGGUGAGAGGGGUCAAUUACUUCAUGUGUUCAAGCAAUUUAGCAUGUUUUCUCCAUCUAUGGAUUUUGGAUUUUGAUAAGUAGCCUUGAAGG
rnacentral:lncRNA from 1 species